GAUGAACGCUGGCUACAGGCUUAACACAUGCGAGUCGAGGGGAAACGACGGGGAAGCUUGCUUCCCCGGGCGUCGACCGGCGCACGGGUGAGUAACGCGUAUCCAACCUGCCUCUGACUGAGGGAUAACCCGUCGAAAGUCGGCCUAAUACCUCAUGGCAUCGUCUGCGGGCAUCCAACGACGAUUAAAGAUUUCCUCGGUCAGGGAUGGGGAUGCGUCUGAUUAGCUUGUUGGCGGGGUAACGGCCCACCAAGGCUACGAUCAGUAGGGGUUCUGAGAGGAAGGUCCCCCACAUUGGAACUGAGACACGGUCCAAACUCCUACGGGAGGCAGCAGUGAGGAAUAUUGGUCAAUGGGCGGGAGCCUGAACCAGCCAAGUAGCGUGCAGGAUGACGGCCCUAUGGGUUGUAAACUGCUUUUAGGCGGGGAUAAAGUGAGGGACGUGUCCUUCAUUGCAGGUACCGCAUGAAUAAGGACCGGCUAAUUCCGUG
rnacentral:rRNA from 1 species